ensembl:lncRNA
AUAAAAUAACAUCGUUUUGGUAACUAAGUUAAAAAUAAGAUACAUUUUAUUUAUCCUGUUCUCAAAUCCAUUGUUAUUUAUCCUUAUUUCACAUCAAAUAUAAUUGACAAGGCCAAAUCUUUUUCGUCUACAUUUAACAAUUUUUUUCAUAAGAUAUCAAGUUCACAAGAAUGAACCAGAUAAUUAAUAACCAGACGAUUAAUAACAAUCAGCGUACACGACCCCGACUGAGAGGAAAUAUGCCUCUUUAGCAUCACACCUCGCUCACACGGCUCUGGCUCAAAAGGGCUUCUCGUUUACACCCCUGUCAUCCUCUUUCUCAACUACCCUGCUGGUCGUUGACGCGUUGACAGUGCCGUUUGUGGUCAUUGUCCUCCUUUCACACCUUAGGGCUCCCGCUGUGGCUUCCCCUGCCUUCUCCCUCGCCGUCUCCUCCAUGAGAAACUGCUCUUUUACGAGGACGCCAAAGAGUGAAAAAUGGAAAACGGUGAGGUGAGAGACAAUGAAAGUUUCAGAACAAUCUGUAUAAGCCGACAAAGCAUGAAGGGUACCGAUACUGACAACUGUGACACUGCUGUGACAGCCCCACUGGCUGGAGCAGGUACUAAACAUUGUGGGGUUGCAUGGUAACAGACAGCUGUACCUGCUCACCCCAUGUCUUCAUCCAAUUGUAUGACUUGGCUCAUUAGAAAUGCAUCUCAUAGUGCAAUAAAUGAGAGGGUGAAAUGUGCUAUUGUUGUAGAAUACGGGCACAUGACAGAUACUGACAGGGGAUUUCAUUUAGUUCAUCUGUGAGUGCCGUGCAGUGGAAGACACCGGGACAGAUUUGUUCGGAGAGCAGACGGGUUCACACACGGCUCAAAAAGAGACCGUCUGAGCCAGACUGAGCUUUCAGAGCUUCCUCUUGAAGGGGAAGAUUGCGGGGACAGAAACAACAACGGGGAAAUAAGUAUUUUCCAACAUGUGAGACGAACGAAAGAGACAAACAGAAAUACUUCGAUCAAAGAGGCAAAAAUGAUCUCAGACUUGAGGGAAACAGGCACCAACAAAUUCUAGCUGGUGCUAUCAUUAUAGUGUUCUCACCCAUUUACUCAUUUAGUUAUAAUCCUAACUUUACAAUUCCAAAAUGGCAUAAGGAUGAGUCCGUAGUGUAAUGGGAAAAAUGCAUGCAACCCUUCAAAUGUUUCACUGUAGGACAGUUUAUAGACAGUUUAUAGAGCAGUGCUGCAGUGCUGUGAUUGUGUGGCUAUGGGAAAGAAUUGAGCUGAAGCGUCUAACACUGAUAAGACGUCCCCAGUCUCCUGGACGUAGAGUAACAACAAGCUGGUUCACAUGUGUUGGACGUAAGCAAGUUUCACUGGAUGCCACCUGGAUCUGGUACGGAGUUGUCUCCCUUUCCUUCAAUAAUGUGAUUUCUCUCAGUUAGAAACCCUUCUAAGCAAAAAGGACUAUUCUAUUCUACUUGUUAACACAUUUGUUUUUCUUGUCAUUUGAGCGUGCAGUUUACAAGUGAAGUAGCAACAGCGAUGUUCUAAUGCUACUUUUUUUUACAUUUUCCUAGGUGCUGUUUCCUAUAUAAUUGAAUUAUAUUCAAUUAAAACCCCAUUUAGAAGUGGUUCCUACUUUGGUCACUUUAAGUGAGCGAUACGUUGUAUGUUUUCCAUAUUUGAUGUCAUCUUUUAAACUAGAAUCAGAAUAUUUAGCAACUAGCUAGCCACCGACAGGCUAACUAGCCAUUUUAUUUAGCUUCUAGUGAGCUUGAGUAUUUAGGGUCACAAUCAGAGAUUGUAGUGCAAACGUCCUUUCACAGAUUCAUGAGGUCACGUGUACAGAAUUCUGUGGUUUUAUUUGUGUGAAAUGUCUUAACGAAAGGCAAACUGGCUGUGCUGCUGCCGCUUCUGGCUUCUCUGUGAGUAAAGUACAUUUAUAAUGUCAUAAUAUGGAUGCAAUAUUAUCAAGUGAGCACCAGGGUUUGUUGAUUUUCAAGGAAACCCCCCACAAGGCUCAAUAAUAGAAUCUGCACUGAUGUCAGUCAGCUUUUAUUUUCCACAGCAAGAACAGACGUCACAACAGAAGAAAGAAACCUCCCCUGGCAUCGGCUUGAAAUGCGUUUAGCGGCAUUCUCCACUAAUGGCAGACGUGCCACUACUUGCAGCAGCACACUGCCAAACACUGGGGGGUCUGAAUCAAUUAGCCACUCAACAACUCCCGGCUCCAUGGCGAGGUUUAAAGUCGUAUCAGCUGAAGCCAGGUGGAUCUGAUGAGGUACAACGCGUGUCAUCACUUCCUCUCAGAUGCUGAGCCGUCCGCCUGCAGGCGGCGGACUGGGCUCUUUCAUUAUGCGCCUGCUGGGUGGACACCGUUGGAUAUUGGCAACGUAUGAGUGUUCUUCCCCAGUUGAUCUUGAUAAUAAUUCACAGGAACUAUAGCUAUGGAUGCUAGGAUAUUAGAAAUGAACUGAUGACCCGGUUCAUAAAAUUAAUAAAAUGCAUUCAGUGUACGCCAGAAUACAGCCAUGAUUCUGAAACUGUGUAAUCAAUAAAGUAAUGACAAUAUUGUAAAACCCCUGUAAUUCUGCAACUGUAAUAGAAUAAUACUAAUGCAGUUAUGAUUGUAUUUGAUGUAAUGUAAUCAACCUGAAUGCAUGCAUGUGAUACUUGCACAACAACUGAUAUUGACUAACGGUCAUUCAAAAUCCGAGUUACAGGGAACUCACCAGAAGACCACUCCCAGAGGUGUGGAGACUAACUUUCACACCUUUACGGAUCGGUUUAAAUACCUGUAGGCAACCAUUGUUCUGGAGCUGGUGGAGGCAGCAGACGGACACUGGGAGGUCAAAGGACCCUGUGGCCUGUUGGUUGCAGAGACCAGCAGCUCCUCAGCUGAGAUGUUCUUUUCAUCACAACACCAUCUCUUUUAUUAAAUACAUUUGAUUUUAACCUUUCAAUCUGCGAUGACCUCUGUCUGUCUGGCGUUUCUUCAUUUUUGAACACAACAAAUGCUAUGAAACACCUGUAACUGUGUACAGAUUAAGAGUGUCGCCCGCCUCUUCCCUCCACCACAGAACUGCAUCAGACAUUUGAAUCCAUGCCAAACAUGAUGUGUCAGGUUAACCUCCCGCCUUGUAUAUCACUGCACUUCACCCAGCAGCAUAUUGCUCCACGGCGGCAUGUUACCAGGGUCUCCUGGCUAUAGUACAGUGAUUCACCUUGUGUUUGUAGGAAUGAAGCCAAUUUAAUUCAACGCCACAGUGCCAUCUGUCUGUGGAUUCAUUCACCUCCAAUUGCAAAAGGACAGAUCAGAAUCAAGUUCUGAGAAGAGAGAGCAGAGAGGGACGGAGACGGAGCGACACGAUGUUAAAAAAACUCAGCUCUCCGCGUUCCUUCACUGGCUGCGUCGUUACCAGGCAGAGUUCUCCCACCCAGACAGCCAAUGAGCCACCGGGCCGGCCAGCAAAGCCAACCAGACACACUUCCAGUGAGGCCAGUUCUCCAUCUGGCUGGCCAGCCCAUUGUGGAGCGGGCCAACGCCUGUCUGUGCUAGUGCGGCACACACACACACACACACACACACACACACACACACAGAUGUCUGCCUUUUCCUGAGCCGUGAGAACAAACUGUCAGGCAGGAAGGAGGAGGACUCGGACGCAGAGGGUUCAGCUGAUAUUGCUUUUUAUUAAUAACAAGAAAAAACUGAAAAUCUCUCUUAACGAGGAAACAAAGGUCGCGAUCAAAGUUCAAAAGGCAAAAACUCAAAAUCUCUCUUAAACGAGGAAAUGUAACAGGGAUCAAAAGGACGUGACAAACGUUAUCGGACUUGACUUGACUCGUGACGUGAGGGCUGGUGUGCAGGGCAAAACAACAAGACACACUGGCACAGGACAAGGG